rnacentral:rRNA from 1 species
GUGCCAGCCGCGGCGGUAAUACGUAGGGGGCGAGCGUUGUCCGGAAUUAUUGGGCGUAAAGCGCGCGCAGGCGGUCCUUUAAGUCUGAUGUGAAAGCCCACGGCUCAACCGUGGAGGGUCAUUGGAAACUGGGGGACUUGAGUGCAGGAGAGGAGAGCGGAAUUCCACGUGUAGCGGUGAAAUGCGUAGAGAUGUGGAGGAACACCAGUGGCGAAGGCGGCUCUCUGGCCUGUAACUGACGCUGAGGCGCGAAAGCGUGGGAGCAAACAGGAUUAGAUACCCUGGUACGUCCGACGCCGUAAACGAUGAGUGCUAAGU